rnacentral:rRNA from 1 species
UACGUAGGGGGCGAGCGUUGUCCGGAAUUAUUGGGCGUAAAGAGCGUGUAGGCGGUCCGAUAAGUCGGCUGUGAAAGUCCAGGGCUCAACCCUGGAAGGCCGGUCGAUACUGUCGGGCUAGAGUCCGGAAGAGGCGAGUGGAAUUCCCGGUGUAGCGGUGAAAUGCGCAGAUAUCGGGAGGAACACCCAUGGCGAAGGCAGCUCGCUGGGACGGUACUGACGCUGAGGCGCGAAAGCGUGGGGAGCGAACAGGAUUAGAUACCCGAGUAGU